CGGGAGGCAGCAGUGGGGAAUAUUGCACAAUGGGGGAAACCCUGAUGCAGCAACGCCGCGUGGAGGAUGACACAUUUCGGUGCGUAAACUCCUUUUAUAUGGGAAGAUAAUGACGGUACCAUAUGAAUAAGCACCGGCUAACUCC
rnacentral:rRNA from 1 species